UGCCACUAUGGUUUUGGAAAAUAAUUGCAGCAGCUUUUGUGCCAAGAAUCACAGGGCAUGCAUGUGCUCAACUUCGUUAAGUCAAUGAGCUAUCUGAGUUAAUCAGUUCCCUCGAGCCCCACUCCUGGAAACUGUGUCUUUUCCACAAGACACAGUUGUGACAUCAGCACUUUCAUCUGUUGGCUGUUGAAAUAUGCAUUUUGAAGUAGAAGGAGAUUAUUUUAAAUUCUUUCUGUUGUUUGAUAGCUCUGCAGUAGUUUCACUGCUCAUCAUGAAGCAUCAUGAGGUCAUCUGAUAUCUAACCACAUUCUAAGUCCAGUACAAUCAUGUGACCUGCUCCCCUCUCCAGCUGCCUCUGGAAGUGCAGUCAAACAUCUGAUCAGGCCUCAUGUUUACAAUGGAUUUAUGACAUUUGGAUUUUAGGAAAUGGUUGCUGGAACUCAAGGCUUUGGAACUUGCUGAUUACUAAAGGACAAAGAAUAGAGAUGCAUAAAGAAGGUGGAGCAGAUUUGGAACAGCAGCUGACUGACAGCACAUACAGGGGACACCGCAGGGAAGAAGUUUCUACAGGGUUUCUAUUGAUGGCCUAGAAUAAUGCAUGGGCUGCAUUGAGUUGAAAGACUAAUCUAAAAAUAGGACUAGUCUUUCUUCUGCACUGAUCAGCAGACACAGGCAUAGCCAAGGAUUUUAAGGAGGAUGACGCAUCUGGCAACAACAGAAAGAGAAAGGUUUGUUUUGUCUAAAAGAAUGCAGUGGAUAAACUGCUUAGGAGCAAGCAACACAUUGAAAAAUGGGAUUGUUUGAUUGGAAUGUUGCUAAGAUCAAUACCUGUAUGGGCUCUUCAAUCUGUCACUCAUAGUUAAUUUUGGCCACAUAAAUUGAAGUCACCCAGGAGCUAAUUGAACUAACCUUCAGUUUUCUCUUGAAUAUUAUCUGAGGUUUUUACUCUAUUCUUGCUGUUAUGCAUUGAGAAUACCAUUAGUAGUACUAGAGGAAAAAAACAUAUACAUCAUCCUCUCAUUACUGAUGCAGAAUCAUUGAUAGAGGAAGCUACAACACAG
rnacentral:lncRNA from 1 species